rfam:Brevibacillus borstelensis AK1 seq_num_002, whole genome shotgun sequence.
GAGGCUGUAUCGGGUUUCCGACCGGCACUCCCGUAUGUGGGGUUUUUCUUUUCAUUCUGUGUAAUGCUAUGGACAACAAUCUGCUCAGAGCCUGUGUGGACCGAGACAGAAGG